rnacentral:tRNA from 1 species
UCCCUGAUGGCCGAGACAGUAAAGAAUCUGCCUGCAACGCAGGAGACCCGGGUUCAAUUCCUGGGUUGGGAA